rnacentral:rRNA from 1 species
AUGGCCAGCUUAGCGCUGCCGUCCACCUUUCCAAUGAUCGAUCUAGCGCCGCCGUCCACCUUCCCAAUGGCCGAUCUAGCGCCGCCGUCCACUUACCCCAUAGAAGCCGCAACACCCACACCCAUCAUCUCCACGGACGCCGCAACGCCUCCUUCCACCUCCAUCGUAGCCGCACCAACGCCGCCGUCCACCUCUCCCACAGCCGCACCAGCGCCACGGUCCACCUCCCCCACGACUGCACCAGCGCCGCCUUCCAAUUCCCCCACUGCCGGACCAGAUCAACCAUUUAUCUCCGCCAUGUCUGCCCCUGCGGCGCCGCCGUCAACCACCACCAUGGCCAUCACCAGCGAUUCACGCAAGAAGCGACCUCCCUGCAAGAAGAAGAAGAAGAAGAAUGAUGCUGUCCAAGAAGAACCUGCCAUGGCUAUUGCGCCGCCAUCCAUCAUCUCCGUGGACGCCGCAGCGCCGCCUUCCACCUCCAACGUCGCCGCACCAACGCAGCCGUCCACUUUCCCCCAUAGCUGCACCAGCGCCGCUGUCCAACUCCUCCAUGGCCAGACUAGCGCAGUUGUCCAAGUCCACCACAUCGGGACCGGCGCAGCCCUCCAACUCCCCCACCGGCGAGGCUCGCAAGAAGCGACCUGGGCAUGA